AUGAUGGAGAGUUUGAUCCUGGCUCAGGACGAACGCUGGCGGCGUGGAUUAGGCAUGCAAGUCGAACGGUAGUAUCCCUUCGGGGAUAUGAGAGUGGCGAACGGGUGAGUAACACGUAGGUAAUCUACCCUCAAAUCGGGGACAACCCAGGGAAACUUGGGCUAAUACCGGAUGAGUGCAGCACCUUGAUUUUCUGGUGAA
rnacentral:rRNA from 1 species